rnacentral:rRNA from 1 species
AUUGAACGCUGGCGGCAGGCCUAACACAUGCAAGUCGAGCGGUAGAGAGAAGCUUGCUUCUCUUGAGAGCGGCGGACGGGUGAGUAAUGCCUAGGAAUCUGCCUGGUAGUGGGGGAUAACGUUCGGAAACGGACGCUAAUACCGCAUACGUCCUACGGGAGAAAGCAGGGGACCUUCGGGCCUUGCGCUAUCAGAUGAGCCUAGGUCGGAUUAGCUAGUUGGUGGGGUAAUGGCUCACCAAGGCGACGAUCCGUAACUGGUCUGAGAGGAUGAUCAGUCACACUGGAACUGAGACACGGUCCAGACUCCUACGGGAGGCAGCAGUGGGGAAUAUUGGACAAUGGGCGAAAGCCUGAUCCAGCCAUGCCGCGUGUGUGAAGAAGGUCUUCGGAUUGUAAAGCACUUUAAGUUGGGAAGAAGGGCAGUAAAUUAAUACUUUGCUGUUUUGACGUUACCGACAGAAUAAGCACCGGCUAACUCUGUG